UACAGCCAUAUCACAUUGAAACACUGAUUCCCAUAUGACCACUGAAGUUAAGCAAUGUUCAGUCUGGUCAAUAACUAAAUGGGUGACCACUUGGAAAUACCAGGUGCUGUAAG